AACCAUUACCACAGAGACCACACAUGUACCGACACAUGGUCCCGGGUGCCGUGAAAACGGUCGGACCCAUGGGGUGCGUGGAGGCUUAACC
rnacentral:sRNA from 1 species